AGGGAUCCGGUUGAUCCGGGUUAGGACUCUCUCACCACUGGAUUAGCUUGGGCGGUUGUUCGGCGGUACGGGAAUGUCAACCCGUUGUCCAUCGACUACGCCUGUCGGCCUCGCCUUGGUCCCGACUUACCCAGGGCGGAUUAACAUGGCCCUGGAACCCUUGGUCUUUCGGAGGACGGGUUUCUCACCCGUCUUUCGCUACUCAUGCCUGCAUUCUCACUCGUGAAGCGUCCACGGCUGGAUCACCUCCUAUAUGCACAAUGGGCGAAAGCCUGAUGCAGCAACGCCGCGUGAGGGAUGACGGCCUUCGGGUUGUAAACCUCUUUUAGUAGGGAAGAAGCGAAAGUGACGGUACCUGCAGAAAAAGCACCGGCUAACUACGUGCCAGCAGCCGCGGUAAUACGUAGGGUGCAAGCGUUGUCCGGAAUUAUUGGGCGUAAAGAGCUCGUAGGCGGUUUGUCGCGUCUGCUGUGAAAUCCCGAGGCUCAACCUCGGGCUUGCAGUGGGUACGGGCAGACUAGAGUGCGGUAGGGGAGAUUGGAAUUCCUGGUGUAGCGGUGGAAUGCGCAGA
rnacentral:rRNA from 1 species